ACCAGGAUGCUAACUGAUUACAACU
rnacentral:piRNA from 1 species